CAGUCGCCACGGUAAUACAGAGGGUGCGAGCGUUAAUCGGAUUUACUGGGCGUAAAGCGUGCGUAGGCGGCUUUUUAAGUCGGAUGUGAAAUCCCUGAGCUUAACUUAGGAAUUGCAUUCGAUACUGGGAAGCUAGAGUAUGGGAGAGGAUGGUAGAAUUCCAGGUGUAGCGGUGAAAUGCGUAGAGAUCUGGAGGAAUACCGAUGGCGAAGGCAGCCAUCUGGCCUAAUACUGACACUGAGGCACGAAAGCGUGGGGAGCAAACAGGAUUAGAUACCCCGGUAGUCCCUGUCUCUUAUAC
rnacentral:rRNA from 1 species